AGUAGUUUGACUCCGUGGCUCGAGGACGAACGCUGGCGGCGUGCUUAACACAUGCAAGUCGAACGGAACCUUCGGGUUUAGUGGCGAACGGGUGAGUAAAGCGCAGGUAAUCUGCCGCAAAGUCGGGGACAACGUCCCGAAAGGAACGCUAAUACCGGAUGUUGUGUAGGGUUUGCAUGAACUUUACACUAAAGAUUUAUCGCUUUGCGAGGAGCCUGCGUCCGAUUAGGUAGUUGGUAGAGUAAAAGCCUACCAAGCCGACGAUCGGUAGCCGGUCUGAGAGGAUGAACGGCCACAUUGGGACUGAGACACGGCCCAGACUCC
rnacentral:rRNA from 1 species